CCUGCCCAUUGCAGGUAACGGUUGAGUCACGAGUGUGUCAGUAGGUGGCAGAGAGAGGCUCUGUCCACACUUAAUGUUCUGACCUGUGAAUCUCUGAAUGGUUAGUAGCGUACCACU
rnacentral:snoRNA from 1 species